GACGAACGCUGGCGGCGUGCUUAACACAUGCAAGUCGAACGGAAAGGCCCUGCUUUUGUGGGGUGCUCGAGUGGCGAACGGGUGAGUAACACGUGAGUAACCUGCCCUUGACUUUGGGAUAACUUCAGGAAACUGGGCUAAUACCGGAUAGGAGCUCCUGCUGCAUGGUGGGGGUUGGAAAGUUUCGGCGGUUGGGGAUGGACUCGCGGCUUAUCAGCUUGUUGGUGGGGUAGUGGCUUACCAAGGCUUUGACGGGUAGCCGGCCUGAGAGGGUGACCGGCCACAUUGGGACUGAGAUACGGCCCAGACUCCUACGGGAGGCAGCAGUGGGGAAUAUUGCACAAUGGGCGGAAGCCUGAUGCAGCAACGCCGCGUGCGGGAUGACGGCCUUCGGGUUGUAAACCGCUUUCGCCUGUGACGAAGCGUGAGUGACGGCAAUGGGUAAAGAAGCACCGGCUAACUACGUG
rnacentral:rRNA from 1 species